CUACUGGUCGCAGCAGUGGGGAAUAUUGCACAAUGGAGGAAACUCUGAUGCAGCAACGCCGCGUGGAGGAUGACACUUUUCGGAGCGUAAACUCCUUUUAUAUAGGAAGAAGAUGACGGUACUAUAUGAAUAAGCGCCGGCUAACUCCGUGCCAGCAGCCGCGGUAAUACGUGAGGGCGCAAGCGUUACUCGGAAUCACUGGGCGUAAAGAGCGUGUAGGCGGAUUAAAAAGGCAGAAGUGAAAUCCUAUAGCUUAACUAUAGAACUGCUUCUGAAACUCUUAAUCUAGAAUAUGGGAGAGGUAGAUGGAAUUUCUGGUGUAGGGGUAAAAUCCGUAGAGAUCAGAAGGAAUACCGAUUGCGAAGGCGAUCUACUAGAACAUUAUUGACGCUGAGACGCGAAAGCGUGGGGAGCAAACAGGAUUAGAUACCCCCGUAGUC
rnacentral:rRNA from 1 species